rnacentral:rRNA from 1 species
UACGUAGGGGGCAAGCGUUGUCCGGAGUUACUGGGCGUAAAGGGCGCGUAGGCGGUAUUGCGCGUGGCGGGUGCCAGCUGCUGGCUUAACCAGCAGAGUGCCCGGCAAACGGCAGCACUGGAGGGCCGCAGAGGGACAUAGAAUUCCGGGUGGAGUGGUGAAAUGCGUAGAGAUCCGGAGGAAUACCAAUGGCGAAGGCAGUGUCCUGGACGGCAACUGACGCUGAGGCGCGAAAGCCAGGGGAGCGAACGGG